rnacentral:misc_RNA from 1 species
UUUCCGUAGGUGAACCUGCGGAAGGAUCAUUACUGAGGGGCUCCGGCCCCGUCAAGAUACCACCCCUUGCAUUUUGAGUACCUCUGUUUCCUCGGCGGGCCCGCCCGCCAAUGGGGACCACGAAGAAACCUCUUGCAGUUGCAGUAAACGUCUAAACAAACAAAAAAUCAAAACUUUCAACAACGGAUCUCUUGGUUCUGGCAUCGAUGAAGAACGCAGC